CACGUAGGGCGCAAGCGUUGUCCGGAAUUAUUGGGCGUAAAGAGCUCGUAGGCGGUCUGUUACGUCUGCUGUGAAAACCCAGGGCUUAACCCUGGGCUUGCAGUGGAUACGGGCAGACUAGAGGCAGGUAGGGGAGAAUGGAAUUCCCGGUGUAGCGGUGAAAUGCGCAGAUAUCAGGAGGAACACCGGUGGCGAAGGCGGCUUACUGGUCCGGUUCUGACGCUGAGGCGCGAAAGCGUGGGGAGCAAACAGG
rnacentral:rRNA from 1 species